UUUCCAUUUUAUGUCAUUCCUUUUUUGUUGACCUCCUUACCGAGGUACGUACUGAACCGUGACUUUUGUGUAUCGUCACACACCUAAUAUUUAUAUAGAUAUAUUAUUCAAUUUUCAAUUUCCUGUCUUUGUUCCAAUUGUUUUGAUUAAAAAACACCACACAAGGUUCAUUGAUAUGUAAUUCAAGAAAUUUUAGGGCAUGGGACUAUUUUAGAGAAUUACAAAAAAUAUAUAUAUUAGGGGUGUCAAAUGAUUAACAUUUUUAAUCGAGUUAAUUACAGCUUAAAAAUUAAUUAAUUGUAAUUGCAAUUAUUCGCAAUUCAAACCAUUUAUAAAAUAUUUAUAAUUUCUGUAAAUUAUUGUUGGAAUGGAAAAGACACAAGAUGGAUACAGUAUAUCCAUUCAACAUACGGUACAUAAGUACUGUAUUUCUUUAUUUUAACAAUAAAUCAUCAAGAUGGCAUUACCAUUAUUAACAUUCUGUUAAAGCGAUCCAUGGAUAGAAAGACUUGUAGUUCUUAAAAGAUAAAUGUUAGUACAAGUUAUAGAAAUUGUAUAUUAAAACCUCUCUUCAUGUUUUCCUUUUAAUAAAAUUUGUAAAAUUUUCAAUCAAAAAAUAAACUAGUUGCCCGCCAUUGUUGAUGUCAAUAAUUACCAAUACUCAUGGGUGCUAAAGCCUAUAAAAUCAGUCGCACCCAAGCGCCAGCAGAGGGCGCCAAAACUCCGAAAAACACAAGUACACAUUUCACUGUGCUGUCAUUUUAAUCUUUUUGAGCGGGGCAUUUGUGCGUUAAUUGCGUCAAAUAUUUUAACGUGAUUAAUUUAAAAAAUUAAUUACCGCCCGUUAACGCGAUAAUUUUGACAGCCCUAAUAUAUAUUACUAUUAACUCAUUCACUCCUAGCCAUUUUCACUGGAGCAAGGCCCUUCGCGGCCGUUUUACCGGAUUUUGACUGAUUUUGCAAGGCCCACAGAAAAUUCUGUUCUAUUGCUUUAUAAACAUGGAACCCACCAAAAGAAAGAUUACUCUCUUCUUUCAGCAGAAAAAAAGUUCAUCUUUUUCUAUUCUUUAGAAAUCAGCAUUAGAAAAUAGCUUAGUUUGAGAAAUUUAGCUUUUUGUGAAAGCAUACAUUUCAAACAUAACUUUGACUUAUACACAGCUAUUUUUUGCUUUAGUUACAUCCCAAACAUCUGAAUGUUUUCCUUUUACAAAAUAAGAUAAACAACAAGACAAAUAGAGCUUUUGAUAGCAAAGUAACAAUUUAUUUACACAUAACUAACUGAAAAAUGACACUGUUCUGGCCGCGACAGGCGGUUAAACUUUUCACUCAUCGUCGUCUGUCUCAUGAGGAUGAAUUUUUUUGAGUCUCUGCGGGCUCUGCUCGCGAGCAGCACGGACUCAAAGGCAUCGUCCGCUGCACUAGUGGUCCAGGUCGUUCUGCUCGGUUGUCCAGCGCCUGGCAUCCCGGGCGUCCUGCCGGUUGUUCUGCUCGGUCGUUCGCCUUCUGGCAUCCAUUCGGCUUGGCCGUUCGUUGCUGUUGAAUGGGGUUGCGGGUCUUACCAAAUGCGCUACUGCCCUCCAGUGGCCAGUUUUACUGCUUUAAAAUGGAUUUUCAGCUUUUUGCUUUGGAGCUAAAUUGAAUCACGAUCCAGAGAUGUCUUUUUUGAAAAAAAAAAAAAAAACGUAAAAGAAGUAUAAAUAUGUCUUUGGGACACUGGAACAAUUAAAAAUAGAACGUAUUUAUACGUUUUUGGGAGCAAAUGAAUUGUAGCGUCUACAAGCACAACGCCAACUUAAUGAUGAUAAUGCACACUCAGCGGGAAAACAUUACAUUAUUUUUAAUGAAUUAUACUCACCUGGAAAGUUGCCCAAGAGUUUAAAAUGACGCUUGGCAUGCUAAAUGCUAAAGCUAACGAGAACGCGAAUGCUAUGCUAAUGCGUGGAGCCAUCUUGCCAAUCAUCAUCACGUUUGCAACGGCGUCACCACAACCUUUCCCUUCUCACCCUCCUGCUCUGCUCUCUCCCAAGGAGCUGUGACAAAAUCAGACAACUCGCGCUUCCGUCAACCAAAUUGUAGUAACGCGCCCCUUCACAUCCCCCGUAACCGUAACAGCGUUGCAAAGAUGGGAAAAAUAAAUUGGAUUAAUCACUAAUGAAUACAAUACCGCCGUUAGAAACGCUGUCACACUCUAACGCCGUUAUUAACAACAGUGAGUGUGAUUCUCUCAAAAUAGAAAUAAAACAAAUAGAAAGUCAUUAGCAAAUCUAGUAGCAAUGGCACCAAUAUUCAUUGCUAAAUGAAAAUAUUUAAACAUGAUGUUCAAAACAACCAGUUGUGAUGGUCUUUGUCAAAGAAUAUUAGUCAAAAACGCUGCAAAAAGUCAACAAAGGGAUUACACACAAUGAACAAUAACAAAAAAAGGCUGGAAAAGUACAAAUUAAUCAGCGGCGCACCAGUAACAAGCUGCCAGCUCAAAGGCAUUGUUUUUUUUUCAUCAUCGUCUUUUCUAGCACGGCAACGCUGUGCUGCCCUCGAUUUUGCACUGUACAGUUUAAUGUAAAUCUUUAAGUCCUCGCCAUUCUGCAAGGGGAAAAACAGCACUGUAUUUAUUGAAAGAACCCAUAGAUGGUUUGAGUUGAGCAUUACACUGUAUGUAUUAAAUAUGUAAAAAAAAAUAUGUCAACACUACCUCCCUACACCCAAAAAAAAAACACAACAGCAAAUACUCAGUACUGCUUUAAGGAUUUUUUUGUGUGUGUGAUCACUUUCAAGCAUAGUCUUAUAAGGCCAUUUUUUGGGGUGGGGGGCACAGCCUUUACUAUUUACUAUUGCUAUUUAUUCACUGUUUACUGGAAAAGUACAAAGCAAUAUCAACUUUUUUGGGAUUAUGUUGAAACAGUUCAGAAAUUUGAAUGAAAGACAUUCUUUUCACCAAAACAGUGUAUCUACAAGAUAACGAUGUUUAUAGAUGUUUUGCGUUUCAGUCAGUUCCAUUCAGUAAACCAAUCAAGCAUUAAGCUUAAGCAUGAUUAAGCAUGAUGUAUCUUUACACUCAGAUAUUAACUCAUCUCAUAGCUCGAUGAAAAGCCCUCGUUUGAAUAGUUUCAACUUUGAAGAUGAAGGGCCUUGGAAGUUUGAAUUACAAAAUGUAAAAAACAUCACACUUUCAUGGACUUCCCCAUUUAUUGAUCUUAUCAUAUGCUGAAUGCCUGGCGAGACAUAUCUUCGAGAUAUUUUUCAAGGUUGAAGUGAAUAAAAGUUGAGAUGAAUUUUUGGACAAGAAUGUAUCGCAGUUUGUGGACAUUUUCAGUGAGGCAAAUAACAUACAGGGUGUCCAUAAAGUCUCUUUACCAUUUCAAAAAUUUAUUAAAUUGUAUUAAAACACUAAGGGGAUGGGAGAUAUCAAUAGAACAGUUAUGUGGCAAGAUAACAAAUAUUAAUAAAGUUAACAAAAAAAUAAAUCGCAUUCAUGAGCAAUUAUCGAAAAUAGAUCGAAAAUUACGAACAUUUCCGAAAGUAUUCCGGAAACAGCCGAAUGGGGCGGAGACGUCAUAACAAGGAAACGAAAGGUCGAGGCAGGUGCAAUCGUUGUUUAUUGACGAGAGAGUUGCGUUCGUGUUUUUUCAAAAAAUCGCUAAAAUGGUUCAAACCUGUCAUGCUAUGCGGUCUACAAAUAGCCAUUUGUCGCAAUGUAGUACCCAUGAGUUCCCGAACGCGAGAAAAAGCGCUGGACUACGCAGAGAAUGAGUAAAGUUCGUCCGUGCUAAGAGGGCUAAUUUUGCAGACCCAGCCUCCGGCACGGUUUUGUGUGGUGCGCAUUUUACACCUGAAAGCUAUUCGAACUAUGGACAAAUGAAAUCAGGUUUUGCUAAGAAAUUGCUGAUGAAAGCAGCCACCAAACACGCGCAGCCACCUAAAUGUCCCGAGAUAUCAAGAAAAAGGACGACUGGCUCUGAUAAGACCACCCAAGGCUAACCAAAGGAGCGGAGCAGCCAAGCUCGAAAUGGCCAGACUUUCCAAAAGACUCCUGGGAGAAGGCAGCGGCACGUAAUGUUCUCACCAGUGAGGCUGAGACGUGAGGUUGUACAGCUGUGGGUAUUGGAUGUGCAAGGUGUCAUCAGGUCUUUGGAGAGACAACUGAAAGCUUCAAUGGAGAAAUAUCCUCCUCCAAAUAACUUGACAGCAAUUGCUAAAACAAAUAACACUAUUUACCCUGGAUGGCCAAUUGGAAGACGCUGAUAUGACACCAGUGUUGUGAAUUACUUGAAAACGUUUGGAGUUCUUUCACUUUUUGGAAGCUUUGUGUUGGACAUCCUCAGUGAUCACCAAACAGUUUGUUAGAACUGCUAACCUUAGGGGAUAACUGUCCUUCCACAUUACCUUAAACAAAUGCUAAACAUUUCAUUCUGCAGCUUCCUUCUACAUAACAGCUAUUUUGUUGGAAUGUACAAAAUAUAUUCACUGAAUGAUGUUUUCCACCUUUCUGAGCGCAAUCAUUUUCUUGACUGACAAAUGAGUCCUGUCAUUUUCUGUCAUAUUAUCUAAAUACUUGACUCCUUAUUGUUAUUCUGCAUGUUUUCUAUCUGCUCCCCCUGGUUUUUCAAUGUACUUUCAUUUCACAUUCCCUCGGAACCAGAGUUAUUUUUGUAACAGACUGAAAGCACCUCUGUGAUCUGUGACGGGACCCAGUGUUAUGCAUCCACUCUAUUAAAAAUUCUAUUAUGGCAAAUGUCUCCAUGCUAUUGCGUCCCAACUCCCGGCACACCGCUGGCAGAAGACGAGGGUGCUAAUGUGGCUAAUGUUUCCCCAGGAACAUCGCCUCUGCCAAGCGGGCACUCUAAUCGUGCACAGUGUGAUCAAGGCGAUAUGGGGUAUGAAUAUCUGCAGGUCCACAUUUCACUGUCGCCUCCCUUCACUGAUGAGCCUGUCAGACUCAAAUUACAAGGUGAAAGCAGGACUUUGGCGCAAUUGGAAUGGUGAAACUAUUGAGUAUGGUCUUCCUGCGCACACUGAGAGAGCACAGGAGUUAAUCUAAUGAUGGGAGAGACCCACAGUGCCUAAUGGCAUCAGAAAGAGCGACACGGGGUGAUGGGAGCGAUGAGACUUCAAUACAGAGUUCUUUCUUUUGCAUCCAACUCAUGUAUUACAGACUUAAAAAAUCAAUUGAAAAACAUCUAAAUGAAUGAAGGCAUCAAAGGCUCAUCAAUAACUGCAUUUUCUCUUGCAAGACUAAUGAUCGUUAGUCAUAUUGUGGAAGGAUAUGAGCAUUUUGUCAUUGAUUUAACAUUGUGACCCAGACUAAUAUUUCCUCUCAUUAAUAAUCAUUUACAAAAUGGAGAUGUGCUCAUGUUGCUGAAAAAUUAAGUAGGGGCAGCUUAAUGGUGAUUUAAUAAAUAAUGAGACGUGGAUCGCGGCGCUCACUUGUAUAUGGCGGAAAACACAGACAUGACUGAAAAAGCACUUUCUGCUCUUGCACUCCCCUUUAAAGUGAUCCUCUAACUAAAAUACAUGUAGGCUCUAAUAAACCACAAAAACGUUUAAAAGGGUAAAUAUAUGAAAAAGAAAAUCUCGUCCACUCGUUGAUGUCUGCGAUUUCUGCAUCACGACCCUUGUUAUAUGACCAUGUUUCACCCAUAGAAUCCCCCCAAAAUCCGGCUUUGGUCAUUCACAUCUGUGUAUUGACACUCGAUGAUACAUGCUACAUGGAGUUUUUGGAUCGAAACAAGGUAAGUACGCGGUAAUAUCUCGUUAAAGUCAUGGCGUCUGUAAUUCUUCUCUCGCGUGCUCUCACCUCCAGAUAGGGUUUUGCUGUUUAAAAAACUUUUUUUUUUAAAAUGCCCUCCUGUUCAAAAUUUUUCUUCCCCCUGAAAAUUGAGAUUUUAAGCUUUUCAGUGAUGUAUCACACAUGCAUAUCGGACAAUUUAGAAAGUUGGCCAAAUCGGGGGUCUCAGAGCGGAACUUCAAGUCACCUGAAUGAUUUCCGCCAUAAAAUUGUGUAAAGAAUCUGUCAAAUGUCAAAUCAACAAAACACUACACAUUCAUUUUGAUUGAAUGAAUGAAUGAAUUAGUGUUGUUUUCAUCAAUAAUGACAAUAACAAAAAUAUUGCGUCGACAAAUAUUUUUUUUAAUGACGAUAACGUGACCAUGACAAGUGGGGGUGUGACAAAAUAUCGAAAUGGUGAUAUAUCGUGAUACUUUGUGUCCCAAAAGGUUGUCGAUAUGCUCCUGCCAAGAAUCUGUCACGCCUGGGUGUGGGUUGUCAUGUCUUGGUGUAUUGUCUCUUCCUGCUUUAUUUUGAAGGCUCAACCUCCUGUUUCCACCACUCACCCUUCCUGCUGUCUCACCUGUCUCUGAUUAUGAUUAGUUAUUGUUCCCACCUGUGCCCCAUUCCUCCUUUGCUUAAAUUGUUUGUCACUCCCUAGUCUUGUGCCAAAGUGUCUUCGCCCUUCGUUGCCACUAAAGCCAGUCCGUAGCCAAAGAUAUUCUAAGUAGUAAGUUGUUCAUAUUAUUCUGCCAUAGCUCUUUGUUUUUUGUGCCUCAUGCAUCGCCCUUUGUUGUAAUUGUAUACUCCAGUGCAUUUUGCCUGGCUCUCUUGUUUCUCGUUUUUAUUAUUUUUGUUUCAUAGCCCGUUAUUUCCUCCUACUGGAGCGCCCUCAGUUUAUACUUGCCUCUGACCAUUUUAUGUUAUUAAAAGACUGAAUUCUUCAUCUGAGUCCGCUCAUCUUGUCUAAGUGUGACAGUACACUUUGGCUAUAAUGGACUUUGCGCUUCGCUCCAGGGCCACGCCAACAGACUCGACCGUCAGGAGCAGUUCCAGACGGCCAUGGCCACCCAGUUGAUCCAGCUCACACCUCACCUGACCGACCUGGCGGGUAGGCUUCAGCCCGUCACUUUGCCUCCUGCGGCAACUGCUGUCCCCUGAACGAAGGUUCAUUCGCUGCCACCCUCCCAGUUCAAAUGGACUGGAUGUCUACUAGUGAUAAAAACUAAUUCACAGCAGAAGCUUGUUUUUUAGUUGUUUGUAGAAUAUGCGAGAAUAAUUUCCUGACCAAUGUAUUGAUAAUUGUUGUAUCGCUGUAUUGUCAGAUCAUCAUUAUUGUGAGCAUUGUAUCGCAAAUCGUAUCGUGAGGUACGAAGAGGUUCCCACUCCUAAUGACAAGCUAAAAACGUGGCUUGGGAGACUUGAACAUAACGAGACGGAAGUUUUCGUCUGAAGAGACGAAAAUGCAACAUAUAGUUUGUUAUAUGUUCACAGUGCGUGACAUUUUCAUGUUGUACGUGGAGUACGUCAGCUUGCAUCGUAGCAUCAUCGUUUCACUCGUGAGAUGUGCUGCGCCUCUCCCUCACUCUCCUUCUUGUUUGGAAACACAUGGUAAGAUUUGUUUUCUUAUCUUGGCAAGAGAGAAUAUGUAAUGUUGCUUUAGCCUUUAGAAUUUUCUGUGCUGAGUGAUCAUCACGCACUAAAUGUAACUUGUCGCGUUAGCAUAGCUUUCGCAUUAGCAUCAACUGUAGUGUGGAGAGCAUCCUUUUAAAUGCUCGGACAGCAAGCAAGGUAAAACGCUUUGUGUGAAGAAAUCAAUUGUGGGAGCAAUUAUUAGAAAAUGGAAGACAUACAAGACCACUACUAAUCUCCCUCGAUCUGGGGCUCCAUGCAAGAUCUCACCCCGUGGCGUCAAAAUAAUAACAAGAACAGUGAGCAAAAAUCCCAGAACCACACGUGGGGGGACCUAGUGAAUGACCUACAGAGAGCUGGGACCUCAAUAAUAAAGGCUACUAUCAGUAACACAAUGCGCCGCCAGGGACUCAAAUCCUGCACUGCCAGACGUGUCCCCCUGCUGAAGAAAGUACACGUCCAGGCCUGUCUGCGGUUCGCUCAGGAGCAUUUGGAUGAUCCAGAAGAGGACUGGGAGAAUGUGUUAUGGUCAGAUUAAACCAAAGUAGAACUUUUUAGUAGAAACACAGGUUCUCGUGUUUGGAGGAGAAAGAAUACUGAAUUGCAGCCGAAGAACACCAUAACCACUGUGAAGCAUGGGGGUGGAAACAUCAUGCUUUGGGGCUGUUUUUCUGCAAAGGGACCAGGAUGACUGAUCUGUGUAAAGAAAGGAAUAAAUGGGGCCAUGUAUCGAGAGAUUUUGAGUGAAAAUCUCCUUCCAUCAGCAAGGGCAUUGAAGAUGAGACGUGGCUGGGUCUUUCAGCAUGACAAUGAUCCCAAACACACAGCCAGGGCAACAAAGGAGUGGCUUCGUAAGAAGCAUUUCAAGGUCCUGGAAUGGCCGAGCCAGUCUCCAGAUCUCAACCCCAUAGAAAAUCUGUGGAGGGAGAUGAAAGUCCGUGUUGCCCAACAACAGCCCCAAAACAUCACUGCUCUAGAGGAGAUCUGCAUGGAGGAAUAGGCCAAAAUACCAGCAACAGUGUGUGAAAAGCUUGUGAAGAGUUACAGAAAACAUUUGACCUCUGUUAUUGCCAACAAAGGGUACAUAACAAAGUAUUGAAAUGAACUUUUGG